GUGGGGAAUAUUGGACAAUGGGCGAAAGCCUGAUCCAGCAAUGCCGCGUGAGUGAUGAAGGCCCUAGGGUUGUAAAGCUCUUUUACCAGGGAUGAUAAUGACAGUACCUGGAGAAUAAGCUCCGGCUAACUCUGUGCCAGCAGCCGCGGUAAUACGGAGGGAGCUAGCGUUGUUCGGAAUUACUGGGCGUAAAGCGCGCGUAGGCGGUUUUUUAAGUCAGAGGUGAAAGCCCGGGGCUCAACCCCGGAAUUGCCUUUGAAACUGGAAAACUUGAAUCUUGGAGAGGUCAGUGGAAUUCCGAGUGUAGAGGUGAAAUUCGUAGAUAUUCGGAAGAACACCAGUGGCGAAGGCGACUGACUGGACAAGUAUUGACGCUGAGGUGCGAAAGCGUGGGGAGCAAACAGGAUUAGAAACCCCGGUAGUCC
rnacentral:rRNA from 1 species